AGGGCUGUGGCUCAGUGGUAGAGAAAAUGCUUUGCAUGCAGAAGGUCCCAGGUUCAACCUAUGGCAUCCCUA